AAAAGCUUGUAUUUAAAAAUGUUUUAAAAAUACUUUUAAUUAAUAUUUGAAUUUUUAUUCCUUUAUUAAUAUAUGUGAGGGGUAGAGGGUGUCACACGUUCUACUAAAGCAACUGCCCCAUCCACCCUUGUUGAGGCAAGAGAGGAAGAAGUAUUGGAUGAUGAUGGGGAAGAAGAAAGAGAGGCACUAGAUCUACUGAAUAUGUUGAAGAAAGAGGAAGAGAUGCUUUCUGCUGUUAAAGAUAGACAAUCCAAGGUAGUACAAUGCUUGGUGUGUCAAAUACUUCAUGAAGCACUGUUGUGUGUACCCUAGUCAGUAAGGAUGGGGAUAAGGAGUUCUCUAGAGAUGUUUUUGAUGAACGUGCCAAGAAAGCAGAAGCUUGGCAUUGUGAUUCUGCAGUUUGUGGAUAAAUAUAUUACUUACUCAAAGGAAGAAGAAGCAAUUCAAUGCAUUCAAAAUGUGCAUGGAUUCCUUUUGGAGGGUAGACCUUUAAGGGCUUGUUUUGGAACCACUAAAUAUUGUCAUGCAUGGCUCAGAAACAUGGCUUGUAAAUUACUAAUUCCUUAUGAAUUAUAAUUUGUUCUUUCAUUAGUUAAAGCUUGAUUGGAGAUAGAUCUUGAUGACCAGCCUUGUAGCAAUCCAGAUUGUCUAUAUCUUCAUGAGAUUGGCUCUCAAGAGGAUAGUUUCACAAAAGAUGAAAUAAUUUCAGCAUACACUAGGCAUUUUUCUAAUCUUAAAUGAGCUUUCAUGCAAGGCCUGUUAUGAUUCUGUUGAAAGAUAGAAUCUAUUGCUUAUAUGAUCCAGGCAUACUUGGAUAAAGUAAAGGAGAGUACUUUACCUUAUCUUGUUAAGAAGAAUGUUUCUUGUCCUGGUCAUGUUAGCAUUACAUAUUAGCUUUCAGUUUUAAAUUAACAUUGAUGGAUAUGUCAUCUGCCAUACCUUUUUAUGAUACUAAAUUAUGAGUUUCAUAGCUGAAACUUUUAUUUGCUUAAUCAUGUUGACUCUGGUUAAAUAUUUAUAAGAACAUGAAACCUUAUGCCU